rnacentral:rRNA from 1 species
AUACGUACUGGGCAAGCGUUGUUCGGAAUCACUGGGCAUAAAGAGCACGUAGGCUGUUCAGUAAGUCCGGGUUGAAAGCCCCCGCCUCAAUCGGGGAACUGGCCUGGAUACUGCUGGACUCGAGGAUGGGAGGGGUGCGCGGAACUCUCGGUGGAGCGGUGAAAUGCUUUGAUAUCGAGAGGAACGCCGGCGGCGAAAGCGGCGCACUGGCCCAUUUCUGACGCUGAGGUGCGAAAGCUGGGGGAGCAAACAGGAUUAGAUACCCCGGUAGUCC